CGGAGCAUGUGGAUUAAUUCGAUGCAACGCGAAGAACCUUACCUGGGCUUGACAUACACCAGAUCGCUGCAGAGAUGUAGCUUCCCUUGUGGCUGGUGUACAGGUGGUGCAUGGUUGUCGUCAGCUCGUGUCGUGAGAUGUUGGGUUAAGUCCCGCAACGAGCGCAACCCUUGUCUUAUGUUGCCAUCACGUGAUUGUGGGCACUCAUGAGAGACUGCCGGGGUUAACUCGGAGGAAGGUGGGGAUGACGUCAAAUCAUCAUGCCCCUUAUGUCCAGGGCUUCACACAUGCUACAAUGGUCGGUACAGCGAGUUGCCACACCGUGAGGUGGAGCUAAUCUCUCAAAGCCGGCCUCAGUUCGGAUUGGGGUCUGCAACUAGACCCCAUGAAGUCGGAGUCGCUAGUAAUCGCAGAUCAGCAACGCUGCGGUGAAUACGUUCCCGGGCUUGUACUCACCGCCCGUC
rnacentral:rRNA from 1 species